AGGACUUGUUCGUAUGACAUCUCCAAGAUCAGUGCCAAAGUAGGAGCUGCCAGCCACCCAUCCUGUGCUUAAAUCAGUAAGAACCUGAAAAUCAUUUCAGAUUUCACAUUCCUGCUUUGUUCCUGCUUCUAAGUGAGAAUCUGCUUGUACCCACAAGAAAUAGAGAGAAGAGAAGAUUCUUCUCGUGCCUGUGUCUUUCUCAAGACAGUGCCAAGGAUCAACUGUCAGAGACGCUGAUUUCAAGAAACGGAGCCCUGUAGGCACCUGAGUUU
rnacentral:lncRNA from 1 species